rnacentral:lncRNA from 1 species
GGGCCGCGUGUGCUUCCUCUUGCCGUCCUUGUCCAGCAGGAUCGAGCCUUGAUGCGGCGCGCAGCCGAUGCGGGCGUCCCUCCAGGGCGGGCCCUGCACCACGCCGGGCCAGAAGAUGGGCGCCCGCCCGGGCAGCUCGGCCAGCGGCUUCGCGUAGCGCCCGGCGGCGGCCACGGCGGCGGCGGCGCCGAAGUAGAGCGCGG